UACGUAGGGUGCGAGCGUUGUCCGGAAUUAUUGGGCGUAAAGAGCUCGUAGGCGGCUUAGUAAGUCGGGUGUGAAACCUCCAGGCUCAACCUGGAGACGCCACCCGAUACUGCUGUGGCUAGAGUCCGGUAGGGGAGCGCGGAAUUCCUGGUGUAGCGGUGAAAUGCGCAGAUAUCAGGAGGAACACCAGCGGCGAAGGCGGCGCUCUGGGCCGGUACUGACGCUGAGGAGCGAAAGCGUGGGGAGCAAACAGG
rnacentral:rRNA from 1 species